CCCCCCGCUCCUAACUCACAAGAUCAGGAUGAAGCAGAGGAAGAGGAGGGUGGUGACGCCAAUCCCUAGAGAGAUUCCGCUGGCGAAGGCCCCGGAGGCGAGUCCCUUCUCGUCUGCACGGAAAAGGUGGAUUCUUUACCAGCUGAGCUGUCAGGGAAGCCCGGCUUUGGAGAGGAAUGAUACAUUCCCCACCGCCAGAGAGCACUCCCUCGGGGAAAAGAAAGUGUGACAGUCCCCCGGGAAGACAGGCGACGCAUGAGUGCCCAAGAUGCGCUUGCGGAUAGAGGACCAUAUGGCAGCCGCGUUCCCCUCCCAGGGCCGAGCCCAGCAUCGCGAGACUCCGCGCCUUCCUCCCCGCGGGCCGCCAAGAGCUGUCGGUCAUCGCCCAGCCCCUCUCUCCACCUCCCCAUCCUUCGAGCCUGGAGCGCACAGUCCUUCCCGCCCCCAGACUCACACGCCACGCUAAGCCGGACGGUGUUCUCCGUGCUCACACCCUCUCCGGAGAAGUCCACUCUGCAGGUCCCCACUGCCCAUCCUGGGCUUUCUCUCGGGGAUGCCCUUGCAUCCAGGGACAGAGGGGGAAGGGUCUCCCAGAGGGAGGAGUGAAAAGGAGAGAAGAAACCUGGGUCCUGCUGGGAGCUUCCCCUGAAGGAGCCGAGAACUGAAGUGCCCCACCGUCAAAGCUUAGAUCCAGUCUUGCCCCCGCCUUGGAGUGUCUCCAUGCCUCUCUGAGGCUAACGGGAGCAGGAACCAAGAGGGUGGCAACAUCUCAGGCCUUCCGAGGGUUUCUCCGCACUAUUCCGCACUGCUCCGUCAGCCCGAAAAGGGAGAGAGAGAGGACCCUCUGCUACCCUGGGGCCAAAAAGAUACCAACCUGUGGCUACCCUGUUCCUCUGAACCAACCCAGAGGUCUCCCAUUCUCCCGUCAAUGAUCAUGGGCCAUCCGUGGGGUUACAUACGCCUUCGAACCUCAGCGCUGAUCCCUGAGAUGUGGAGGCAGCUGCCAAGAGGUUCAUGGAGGCGGUCCUGAGACCAUCAGCUCCCCUCCUCCGCUUUCCUGGAAACGCCGUGGGUCCACUCUUCUCAUCACAGGAAAAGUAUUUCCGGUCACAGAACCUGCCCUUUCUUUCCUGCCCAUCCUGCUUUUCCUGGUCCCAUCUUGCCUCCAUCCUCACAUCACUCAAACUCUUCCUGUCAAGAUCGCCGAAGACCUCGAAUGCUUAAAAGCCCUAGGUAAAUUAUGUUCUCAUCUCACUUGGAUGCUGCCCACCCAGCAGCAUUUGAUGUGCUCGGUUGCCCCCUGCCUGCCUGCUUCUUGAAGCACUGACUCAGUCUGGCCUCUGUGUCCCCUGGAGCUGUCAUCUGAAGGCACCUGCUGGAGCUGGGCUGCACGUAGCAAGCAGAAGACACGGUUGUUAUUGUUGUGUUAGUUGCUCAGUUGUGUCUGACUCUUUGUGACCCCAUGGACUGUAUGCCCCUCUGUCCAUGGAAUUCUCCUGGGAAGAAUACUGGAAUGGGGUGCUGUUCCCUUCUCCUGGGGGAUCUUCCCAACCCUGGGAUCGAGCCCAGGUCCAUACUUCCCUGGUUUUCCUCCGACUUUUCUAGACACUCUUCCUCAUCUUUAAGAGUUCUGCCUCUUCCCCUGACUCCUAAAUCUUAGAAUGUAUCAGGAUCACUCUCCCAAGAUGUCCUAUUUCCUCCAUGACCUUAAAAACCUUUGCUAUGUGUGAUAUUGUGACUUGCAGUAAAUACAUACUUUGGUCUUUGUUCAUGGUUCCUGGCCCACAGUUCCCCAAACCCUUGGAAUUUCCUGAGUGAGAAGAGCAAUAGGAGCAUCUUUUGUUAAAAAAAAAAAAAAAAUGGUCUCAUGUCCUCAAUUCCUGAAAACACUUUGGAGCUAGAAAUGGGUGUCUUGUUAUUCUUAACAAACCCCUAUCCACCAUACCAGAGUUUUUGUUAAUGGGGUGACUUUUGGAAAGCACAAACAGAUGAGGGCUGGUUGUCAGGGGAAUGAACCCUGUGAUUAGAAGGUUAGAAUUUUCCGUUCAACCCCUGACCUAGCAGGAGGGGAGAGGAGCUGGAAAUUGAA